GAUGAACGCUGGCGGCGUGCCUAAUACAUGCAAGUCGAGCGAACGGACGAGAAGCUUGCUUCUCUGAUGUUAGCGGCGGACGGGUGAGUAACACGUGGAUAACCUACCUAUAAGACUGGGAUAACUUCGGGAAACCGUAGCUAAUACCGGAUAAUAUUUUGAACCGCAUGGUUCAAAAGUGAAAGACGGUCUUGCUGUCACUUAUAGAUGGAUCCGCGCUGCAUUAGCUAGUUGGUAAGGUAACGGCUUACCAAGGCAACGAUGCAUAGCCGACCUGAGAGGGUGAUCGGCCACACUGGAACUGAGACACGGUCCAGACUCCUACGGGAGGCAGCAGUAGGGAAUCUUCCGCAAUGGGCGAAAGCCUGACGGAGCAACGCCGCGUGAGUGAUGAAGGUCUUCGGAUCGUAAAACUCUGUUAUUGGGGAAGAACAUAUGUGUAAGUAACUGUGCACAUCUUGACGUUACCUAAUCAGAAAGCCACGGCUAACUACGUG
rnacentral:rRNA from 1 species